rnacentral:tRNA from 1 species
UGGGCUGUAGCCAAGUGGUAAGGCAUCUGGUUUUGAUCCAGACAUCUCCUAGGUUCGAAUCCUAGCAGCCCAGCCA